rnacentral:rRNA from 1 species
UUGACCUCGGAUCAGGCAGGGAUACCCGCUGAACUUAAGCAUAUCAAUAAGCGGAGGAAAAGAAACCAACAGGGAUUGCCUCAGUAACGGCGAGUGAAGCGGCAACAGCUCAAAUUUGAAAUCUGGCUCUUUUAGGGUCCGAGUUGUAAUUUGUAGAGGAUGCUUCGGCGUCGGCUCCGGUCUAAGUUCCUUGGAACAGGACGUCAUAGAGGGUGAGAAUCCCGUAUGUGAUCGGUUGCCCUUGCCAUGUGAAGCUCCUUCGACGAGUCGAGUUGUUUGGGAAUGCAGCUCUAAAUGGGAGGUAAAUUUCUUCUAAAGCUAAAUACUGGCCAGAGACCGAUAGCGCACAAGUAGAGUGAUCGAAAGAUGAAAAGCACUUUGGAAAGAGAGUCAAAAAGUACGUGAAAUUGUUGAAAGGGAA